UACGUAGGGAGCAAGCGUUGUCCGGAAUCAUUGGGCGUAAAGCGCGCGUAGGUGGCCUCAUAAGUCCGCUGUGAAAGUCAAAGGCUCAACCUUUGAAAGCCGGUGGAUACUGUGAGGCUAGAGUACGGAAGAGGCGAGUGGAAUUCCUGGUGUAGCGGUGGAAUGCGCAGAUAUCAGGAGGAACACCAAUGGCGAAGGCAGCUCGCUGGGACGGUACUGACGCUGAGACGCGAAAGCGUGGGGAGCAAACAGG
rnacentral:rRNA from 1 species